AGCGCACUUUGAGUUUCCCUAGCAAGAGUGGUUGAGAGCAAAACAAAAGUGAAACCAACAUUGUGUUAUGGAUUUAGGUUAGGUCUAUAUCACAUUCUGAACAGCACACUGAACGAAGGAAUAACAGCCGUUCUGGGUACAUUGAACCGUUAAAGAUGGUUAAGGUAUUUUUCAAGGGCAUUGGAUAUGCCGAGAGGUAUCUUGAAGAGAUCAAGGCCUAUCUCCAAAGACGACUUUGUGUGACUCAGGUCGGAGAUGUACGGGAAUGUGAUGUCAUCUUGGUCCUCUGCCCAAUCGUCUCUCGAGCUGGAACUGAUGUUGAGGCUGCACUGAGUGCGAUUCCAAGCCCAAAGCCUACAAUUCUCAUGGUGUUUCAUCGCACAUUCGACCCGGAAGACAUAAUACCCAACACCCAGAAGUAUGUCGAAGGGAGGGGAAUAACGGUGGACCUGCUUUUCAAUGAGGAAGGAGGACUACUUUCUUGCAGAAGAAAUGAGGACUCGAAGAGAUUGGCUGCAGAUUACCUCAAUAAGCAUGAAGCACUUAGCCCUAUAUACAGUAAUAGGUUUUUAAAUGCCAUACUUUCGCAAAAAGGGCUUAUUGGGUGUAUUGCAUUUGCAGGUGUAGUCAUUGUUUGUUUUGCCAUUGUCAGGAAAAAAGAUAAAAUAAUGUUAGCUAACUCAGUCAAUCUUCCUAGGCUAUUUACAUGGACUACACUGAAAAUCAGGGUUGGAAAAUCUACUGAAAUCUGAUAGUCUAUCAGAACCCUAAACCUUUAGGAAAAUUGGGCUUGGGUCUUAAAUGCCAGAAGUGUUUUGUUAAGUCAUAUAUCGGCAACACUAACAUGUGUUAUUUGAAAACAUUAAAAAGAUGAAGAGUAAUCAGCAGUAAGACA